UACUCAAUUUUUUUGAGGCAACGAGUUUCCAUAAUUUUUUUGAGUUCUGGGAACUAAUUAGAUUUUACAGUGUACAAGAGCUCCCAAAUUUGAACAUCAUUGAUGUUCAUCGGAUUUACAGAGUGACGACAAACCCCGUCAGCAUGUUAGAUAAAGGAUUUAAGUUAUAUGCUGCAUCAUAUAUACACAACUACGAAGGUAAGAAAACGUAAAUUAACCGACAAAGAAACGUUAGCUAACGUGAAAUGCAAACACUCCGCUAUGUGUUUCAUUUGAUGUCAAUUCUCUACAUUACAUGUUUCCUUAAACGGUGUUUAUAGUUGAGGUUUAACUAAUGUCACUUUUGUUGUUAGACACUUUUAUAAUAGCGUUAGGUAGUUGGCUAACUAAGCAGGUAGUUAACUACCCAAUGCUACUCUUGCUACGUGUAAAGUAUAUAUGUUUAAGACGUGUUGACAUGAGUAGUACAGAAAUAAUGCUAAUGGUUCUUGUAUCUUUAUUCAGUGUCCAAAAAAAACACAGGUUGACAGGGGAGGUCGGUGUGAGAGCCCUGUGCUACAGGUCAAUGAGGAAGAGUGAGGCACCACACAGACUAAGUAUUAAGCUUCUGGAUUCAUCGCCAGUGCUCCUGUGUGGCAGGUGCUGUUAUGUGCAAUCACACAGUGGCACUGCUCUUCCAAACAGCACACUACUCACAACUCAGAGUGCCGGUUGUCCCCUGUGCAUAGCUGCACCGAAUCUGAACAGCAAUGGCACAAGCCACGGACAGUGGGUGUGAAGCCAGGACCUAUCAACUCUAUGAUCUUCACUAAGCCGGUACCAAAUAGGAUGGCCCAGACUGGAGUACGGAGUGGAUUCUACAGAGGCAUUGUGGGUCCAUUACCAGAUCCCUGACCUGACAAGCCCCUUGUGGAAAGUGCCUUUGGGCUGGUGCAGGAGGGCAGUGUUCUGUCAUGUCAGCAGCCGGUUUUGACAACCCGGUACAUCACACUACACCGUGAUGCACCACCAACACCGCACUUGCCUCUGGAGGGGUAUGACAUCAAGGAAACCCUGCUCGCUCAGACAGCCUGUGAUAUUUUCUCAAACCGCUGCGCUGAACAAGUUUCCAAAGAACAUGCUGUGUGACACAAUAAAUAUCCUUUAACCUGUUAACCUGUGGCUUCUGGAAGAAACUCGGGUGAGUCAGUCACUGCAAACACAUUUGUAUCAUCAAGUGUUUGUCAAAUGAAAAUGAUAUGUUUUUCUACACUUAGGAUAAUUUUCUAUGUUGCAGUGCAGUAAAGUGCAUGUUUCUUCUGUGUUCAAUCAUACAUGUUCUAAUUGUUAUAAACAGAAAAAAUCUUUUCUUACUUAACUGCUUGAUUCUUAACUUGUUUAACUGAAACAUGAUGAAAUGUCAUAGUAUUAUUUUUUUUAAAUGUCCUUGGCAGUGCAUGUGUCCGCAUUGUAACUUACUAAUAAAAAGUCCUGUGUGUACUUUGGUGUGUGUUUUAUGUUAUUUUAUUGCAAAUAAAUAAUAGUCAUUUGAUUUUACAGUUACACACAAUCUUAUAUCUCUGGCAUGGCAUGGCAAGGCAAUAUCGG
ensembl:lncRNA